GCGCCGCCACUCGGUGGUGCGGCCGGAAGUGGGGGGGGAGGGGGGCAGGGAGGCGGCGGUGCCACCAUGAAACGGGACGUGCGGAUCCUCCUGCUCGGGGAGGCCCAGGUGGGGAAGACGUCCCUGAUCAUGGCCCUGGUGGGCGAGGAGUUUCCUGAAGAGGUGCCCCCCCGGGCGGAGGAGAUCACGAUCCCGGCAGAUGUCACCCCUGAGAAGGUCCCCACACACAUAGUGGACUACUCAGAGUCAGAGCAGACAGAGGAGGAGCUGCAGGAGGAGAUCUCCAAGG